rnacentral:rRNA from 1 species
UACGUAUGGUGCAAGCGUUAUCCGGAUUUACUGGGUGUAAAGGGAGCGUAGGCGGCGCGUUAAGUCUGAUGUGAAAACCCGAGGCUCAACCACGGGAGUGCAUUGGAAACUGGCGGGCUGGAGUGCCGGAGAGGUAAGCGGAAUUCCUAGUGUAGCGGUGAAAUGCGUAGAUAUUAGGAGGAACACCAGUGGCGAAGGCGGCUUACUGGUCGGCAACUGACGCUGAGGCUCGAAAGCGUGGGGAGCAAACAGG